CGGGACGGGUGAGUAACGCGUGGGUAACCUGCCCUGUACAGGGGAUAACAGUUAGAAAUGACUGCUAACACCGCAUAAGCGCACGGUAAGGCAUCUUAGUGUGUGAAAAUAUUCAUAGGUACAGGAUGGGCCCGCGUCUGAUUAGCCAGUUGGCAGGGUAACGGCCUACCAAAGCGACGAUCAGUAGCCGGCUUGAGAGAGUGAACGGCCACAUUGGGACUGAGACACGGCCCAAACUCCUACGGGAGGCAGCAG
rnacentral:rRNA from 1 species